UUCAAUUAUUUUUUAUGGUAGC
rnacentral:siRNA from 1 species